rnacentral:rRNA from 1 species
AAUGAACGCUGGCGGCAGGCCUAACACAUGCAAGUCGAACGAGGGGCGGACGGGUGAGUAAUGUCUGGGAAACUGGCUGAUGGAGGGGGAUAACUGCUGGAAACGGUAGCUAAUACCGCAUAACAUAAGAUGGGCCCAGAUGGGAUUAGCUUGUUGGGGAGGUAACGGCUCACCAAGGCGACGAUCCCUAGCUGGGCUGAGAGGAAGACCGGCCACACUGGAACUGAGACACGGUCCAGACUCCUACGGGAGGCAGCAGUGGGGAAUAUUGGACAAUGGGCGCAAGCCUGAUGCAGCCAUGCCGCGUGUAUGAAGAAGGCUUUCGGGUUGUAAAGUACUUUCAGCGGGGAGGCGUUACCCGCAGAAGAAGCACCGGCUAACUCCGUGCCAGCCGCCGCGGUAAUUC